UUAAGUUCAGCGGGUAGUCUUGCCUGAUUUGAGAUCAUUGAAGUGAUGAUGAGCAGAUUGUCGAUCAAUAGAAAUGGCUUCCACUCUCACGAACAACCCGUGUCUGCAUUCAAGACGAUCAGUGAUGAAGGUCCAUGUCUUGACCAACACGGAUCAGCAACCAGGGUGGAUGUCUGACCCAGUGGAUCAAAGGGAUGAAU
rnacentral:misc_RNA from 1 species